rnacentral:rRNA from 1 species
ACAGCAGUAGCCACGGUAAUACAGAGGGUGCGAGCGUUAAUCGGAUUUACUGGGCGUAAAGCGUGCGUAGGCGGCUUUUUAAGUCGGAUGUGAAAUCCCUGAGCUUAACUUAGGAAUUGCAUUCGAUACUGGGUAGCUAGAGUAUGGGAGAGGAUGGUAGAAUUCCAGGUGUAGCGGUGAAAUGCGUAGAGAUCUGGAGGAAUACCGAUGGCGAAGGCAGCCAUCUGGCCUAAUACUGACGCUGAGGUACGAAAGCAUGGGGAGCAAACAGGAUUAGAUACCCCCGUAGUCCCUGUCUCUUAUAC